UACGUAGGGGGCGAGCGUUGUCCGGAGUUACUGGGCGUAAAGCGCUUGUAGGCGGUCCACCAAGUUUGGGGUGACAGUUGCCGACUUAAUCGGCAAAGUGCCUCAAAGACUGGCGGACUUGAGGGCCACAGAGGGACAUGGAACUCCAGGUGUAGUGGUGAAAUGCGUAGAUAUCUGGAGGAACACCGGUGGCGAAGGCGGGUCUCUGGGCCGGUACCGACGCUGAGGAGCGAAAGCGUGGGGAGCGAACAGG
rnacentral:rRNA from 1 species